GACGAACGCUGGCGGCGUGCCUAAUACAUGCAAGUAGAACGCUGAAGGAGGAGCUUGCUUCUCUGGAUGAGUUGCGAACGGGUGAGUAACGCGUAGGUAACCUGCCUGGUAGCGGGGGAUAACUAUUGGAAACGAUAGCUAAUACCGCAUAAUAGUAGAUGUUGCAUGACAUUUGCUUAAAAGGUGCAAUUGCAUCACUACCAGAUGGACCUGCGUUGUAUUAGCUAGUUGGUGGGGUAACGGCUCACCAAGGCGACGAUACAUAGCCGACCUGAGAGGGUGAUCGGCCACACUGGGACUGAGACACGGCCCAGACUCCUACGGGAGGCAGCAGUAGGGAAUCUUCGGCAAUGGACGGAAGUCUGACCGAGCAACGCCGCGUGAGUAAAGAAGGUUUUCGGAUCGUAAAGCUCUGUUGUAAGAGAAGAACGAGUGUGAGAGUGGAAAGUUCACACUGUGACGGUAUCUUACCAGAAAGGGACGGCUAACUACGUGCCAGCAGCCGCGGUAAUACGUAGGUCCCGAGCGUUGUCCGGAUUUAUUGGGCGUAAAGCGAGCGCAGGCGGUUAGAUAAGUCUGAAGUUAAAGGCUGUGGCUUAACCAUAGUACGCUUUGGAAACUGUUUAACUUGAGUGCAAGAGGGGAGAGUGGAAUUCCAUGUGUAGCGGUGAAAUGCGUAGAUAUAUGGAGGAACACCGGUGGCGAAAGCGGCUCUCUGGCUUGUAACUGACGCUGAGGCUCGAAAGCGUGGGGAGCAAACAGG
rnacentral:rRNA from 1 species